UUUAAGUGAAGAGUUUGAUCCUGGCUCAGAGUGAACGCUGGCGGUAGGCCUAACACAUGCAAGUCGAACGGCAGCACAGGAGAGCUUGCUCUCUGGGUGGCGAGUGGCGGACGGGUGAGGAAUACAUCGGAAUCUACUCUGUCGUGGGGGAUAACGUAGGGA
rnacentral:rRNA from 1 species